UUCUUCAUCUCUUUUUUCGUCUCAACACCUAUAGCUGACUGCCAUAACAAUCAUACCACUAUGUCUACACCUAGCUUCCGCCACAACCAUGAUACGCAGCCACCUGACGCCACCACCACUUCUACUUUGUUGUUAAAUCCACAGGAUAAAUCAUAUAUGAGGUCUCUAUUUCUCUCUUUAUGGUUUUUCAAUCUCAAACAAAAAGAUACAUAAUAUAAAACGCACCGCCAUCUAUCUACUUACCACCACCAUCGCAGAAAAGCCAUCACACCAGUCGCCGCCAACUACCACCACCUUCGUCAUCUCCAUCAGCCACCACGGGCGCGAUUUAGUGGUCGCAACCUACCAACACCUUCGUCACCAUCAACCACCCGGGGUUCAUCUUUCCGAUGAAUAUGCUCCAAGCGUCAUCUUUUUUAGUAUCGUUUGUAGAACCGUUCCAUCUAAUUUAGUUUUUCCAUAAUUCUUGAUUUUGUUAACCUGGUUUUUGAUUCUGAUGAAUGGUUGAUGUUGGUUUAAGAUUUUCUUACGUGGUUACUAAAAAUUAUUAAUGAUCAUAUGUGUGUCGAUUCCCUUCUUCAA